GAACGCACAUUGCGCCCGCUAGUCUUCUGGCGGGCAUGCCUGUUCGAGCGUCAUUUCAACCAUCAAGCCCCAGGCUUGUGUUGGAGCCCUGCGGCUGCCCGCAGCCUCCUAAAACCAGUGGCGGGCUCGCUAUCACACCGAGUGCAGUAGUUCUCUCUUCGCUCUGGACGUGUAGCGGGUUCCGGCCGUGAAACCCCCAAAUUUUCAAGGUUGACCUCGGAUCAGGUAGGAAUACCCGCUGAACUUAAG
rnacentral:misc_RNA from 1 species